AUUGAACGCUGGCGGCAGGCCUAACACAUGCAAGUCGGACGGUAGCACAGGGGAGCUUGCUCCUCGGGUGACGAGUGGCGGACGGGUGAGUAAUGUCUGGGGAUCUGCCCGAUAGAGGGGGAUAACCACUGGAAACGGUGGCUAAUACCGCAUAAUGUCGCAAGACCAAAGAGGGGGACCUUCGGGCCGCCCACUGUCGGAUGAACCCGGAUGGGGUUAGCUUGGAGGCGGGGUAACGGCCCACCUAGGCGACGAUCCCUAGCUGGUCUGAGAGGAUGACCAGCCACACUGGAACUGAGACACGGUCCAGACUCCUACGGGAGGCAGCAGUGGGGAAUAUUGCACAAUGGGCGCAAGCCUGAUGCAGCCAUGCCGCGUGUAUGAAGAAGGCCUUCGGGUUGUAAAGUACUUUCAGCGGGGAGGAAGGCGAUGUGGUUAAUAACCGCGUCGAUUGACGUUACCCGCAGAAGAAGCACCGGCUAACUCCGUGCCAGCAGCCGCCGUAA
rnacentral:rRNA from 1 species